rnacentral:rRNA from 1 species
GUCUACAGCCAUGCCACUCUGAACAAGCCUGAUCCCGUCUGAUCUCGGAAGCUAAGCAGGGUUGGGCCUGGUUAGUACUUGGAUGGGAGACCACCUAGGAAGACCAGGUGCUGUAGGCA